UAUGGCCUAAGGAGCCAUAGAUAGGAGACUGGGGGAGACUAUGAGGCGACACCAUAGUCAGCCUGCAAAACAUACAUAAUCAUAAUGAGCUGUGCUACAUUUCAAAUCAAUAGAGUAACAUUCUCAAGGGAACCAAUCGAUUAGGGAAUCAAUCGAUUGCUACGACAAUCAAUCGAUUUGGGAAUCAGCUUCUCUUCGCUACAAUCGCUACAACAACAAUCAAUCGAUUAGGGAAUUGGCUUCUCUUCGCUACAAUUGCUACAACGUCAAUCAAUCGAUUAGGAGAAUCGGCUUCUCGUCACUGCAAUCGCUACAACGAUAAUCAAUCGAUAUGGGGAUUCGGGUUCUCUUCGCUACAAUCGCUACAAUGACUACUAUUUGGUAGUGAGCUUUGUGGGAUUUACUGGUGCCGCUUCGAAAAUCGAUUUACUGGUGCAAGAAAUAUUCAGACCGAAUUUGCACUUCAAUUUCUCUCAAAUUUGCACUUCAAUUGCUUCAAUUUGGGGAUUUUAAGGUUGCUAGCUUUGGUGGUUCAAACAUUGAUCUGUCUGCCUGGGAGAACAAGAAGAACCCUAGUGAAUCUCGCUUUCCUGCUCAGACAAGGUAGUUCAAUUUAUUUAUCUGAAAGUUGCACAUAAUGGGAGUUCAUAAUCUUGGCCACCACAGUUAUUAAUGUCCAGGUUGUCCAACUGUUCUAAGAGUUGUUUGCUCAAACCAAGUAUAAAGAGGCAGUUGAGCUUGCUGCAAAAUCCCCACAAGGCAUACUCCAUACACCGGAUACUAUUGCUAAAUUCAGGUGUCCAAAAUGAAGAAAGAGAUGAAGACAUUGACCUAACUUGAGAAG